rnacentral:rRNA from 1 species
GAGGCAGAGCAAAUCGCUAAAAGCCGUCUCAGUUCGGAUUGCAGGCUGAAACCCGCCUGCAUGAAGUUGGAAUUGCUAGUAAUCGCGGAUCAGCAUGCCGCGGUGAAUACGUUCCCGGGCCUUGUACACACCGCCCGUCACACCAUGAGAGUCGGGAACACCCGAAGUCCGUAGUCUAACCCGCAAGGGAGGGCGCGGCCGAAGGUGGGUUCGAUAAUUGGGAUGAAGUCGUAACAAGGUAAC